UACGGGGGGGGCAAGCGUUGUUCGGAAUUACUGGGCGUAAAGGGUCUGUAGGUGGCCAACUAAGUCAGACGUGAAAUCCCUCAGCUUAACUGGGGAACUGCGUCUGAUACUGGUUGGCUUGAGUGCAGGAGAGGAAUGCGGAAUUCCAGGUGUAGCGGUGAAAUGCGUAGAUAUCUGGAGGAACACCGGUGGCGAAGGCGGCAUCCUGGACCGGUAUUGACGCUGAGGCGCGAAAGCUAGGGGAGCAAACGGGG
rnacentral:rRNA from 1 species